rnacentral:rRNA from 1 species
UGGGGAAUAUUGGACAAUGGGCGCAAGCCUGAUCCAGCAAUGCCGCGUGUGUGAAGAAGGCCUUCGGGUUGUAAAGCACUUUUAUCAGGAGCGAAACGCUGUCGGCUAAUACCCGGCGGAACUGACGGUACCUGAGGAAUAAGCACCGGCUAACUUCGUGCCAGCAGCCGCGGUAAUACGAAGGGUGCAAGCGUUAAUCGGAAUUACUGGGCGUAAAGCGUGCGUAGGCGGUUUCUUAAGUCUGCUGUGAAAUCCCCGGGCUCAACCUGGGAAUGGCAGUGGAUACUGGGAGGCUAGAGUGUGUCAGAGGGUGGUGGAAUUCCCGGUGUAGCGGUGAAAUGCGUAGAGAUCGGGAGGAACAUCAGUGGCGAAGGCGGCCACCUGGGACAACACUGACGCUGAGGCACGAAAGCGUGGGGAGCAAACAGGAUUAGAUACCCUGGUAGUCCACGCCCUAAACGAUGCGAACUGGAUGUUGGUCUCAACUCGGAGAUCAGUGUCGAAGCUAACGCGUUAAGUUCGCCGCCUGGGGAGUNCGGUCGCAAGACUGAAACUUAAAGGAAUUGACGGGGUCAUAGCUGUUUCCUG